GUCAUAGAUGGCUAUUAUUACCUUAAGGUAUGUCCCUUCUACACCUAUUUUGCUGAGGGUUUUAAUAAUAAAGAGAUAUAGUAUUUUGUCAAAUGCUUUUUCUGUGUCUAUUGAGAUGGUCAUAUAAUUUUUGUUUUUCAUUCUGUUUAUGUGAUGUGUUACAUUUAUUGACUUGCUUGUGUUAAAUCCUCCCUGGAUGCCUGGUAGAAAACCCACUUGAUCAUGAUGGAUUAUCUUUUUGAUAUGCUGUCGGAUUCAGUUAGCUAGUAUUUUUGUUGAGACAGACAUUUUUAUGCAGGCAUUUAAUGUUACGAACUUUCCUCUUAGCACCAUUUUUGUUGUAUCCCAGUGGUUUUGACAGGUUGUGUCACA
rnacentral:lncRNA from 1 species